GACGAACGCUGGCGGCGUGCCUAACACAUGCAAGUCGAGCGGAGUCGAUCGACGGAAGCCUUCGGGCGGAAGAUGGUUGACUUAGCGGCGGAUGGGUGAGUAACGCGUGGGCAACCUGCCUCGAAGACCGGGAUAACAGCCCGAAAGGGCUGCUAAUACCGGAUGUGGUCAAGGAUCCGCAUGGAUUUUGAUUAAAGGGGAAACCCGUUUCGAGAUGGGCCCGCGUCCUAUCAGCUAGUUGGUGAGGUAAAAGCUCACCAAGGCGACGACGGGUAGCCGGCCUGAGAGGGUGACCGGCCACACUGGAACUGAGACACGGUCCAGACUCCUACGGGGGGCAGCAGUGGGGAAUCUUCCACAAUGGGCGAAAGCCUGAUGGAGCGACGCCGCGUGAGCGAAGAAGGCCUUCGGGUUGUAAACUCCUGUCAGAAGGGACGAAAUCCCGCAAGGGACUGACGGUACCUUCAGAGGAAGCCCCGGCUAACUACGUG
rnacentral:rRNA from 1 species